CAUGGCCCCUUCAGGUGGUGGCAGUGACUCGGAUGGUUUUCACAACCUCAAGACCAAGGGAAGCCCCGCGGUGUGCGUCUGUGUGCCUCCCUUCCUCAGCCCCCCACACGGCCUCUGCCUGCAGCCUUGAACUGCUUAGCCUCAAACUGCUCGGCCCAGACCUUAUGUCAGUUCUCAGGAAGUGCCUGUGGGCCACCCAGCUAUGGUAUGUGGCACUGUGCGUCAUGGCUGUUCUGGGUGCUGGGAGUCCUAGGAAGGCCCCUGGAGAAGUGGGCUUAAGCUGAGCUCCCAGGAAGAGCAGAUGUGUGUGAGGUGAGGGAGGCUGGCACUCAGGCAGCAGCAGCGUAGAGGCAGUACAGCCACUGAGGUUUCUGAGCAGGGAGAGCCAAGCCUGCCUGUUUUAGAAUUCUCUAGAGGAGGCUGAAGCAGAAAGGGAUCCCACGGUCUUGGGACAUUGACAUCCUGGCUUCUGGCUGGGAGACUGAGUAGCAGGAAGUGCCCACAAGGACACCUGAUGGCUGCCCGUUUCCCGCCCUGUGCCUGGCGCUCAGCGAGCCCUCGGUCCUCCCGGUGAGGUGCAUCCUGCCCCAUGGAAGUGAAGGUACCUCCCCGGGCUAAAGGCUGGGCAGGUUCAAACCCAUCUCUCUGACACGUGGCUAGGCCCCGCAGCCUGGGAGGUCAGUGCUUGUGGGGCAGGGCUGGGCUCUGCAAUGUGGGGAGCCUGGGGAAGAACACCCUGGGCUGAGCGCCCCGCAACAGCCACUGGGCCCCCUGCAUCCGCGCCCCAUGCAUCUGGUACAGGGGGCUGAGUGGGAGCACAGGUUCUGGGUGAGGGAGGCCGCCUGCAGGAGGCAGAACUCUGCACGUGGGUGGCUGUAGGUCAGGUCAGUGGUGUGGGCCCCGGUGAGUGUGGGGAACGGACAGACCUGUGCCAGGGCUGCCACCGAAUCGCCCCCUCGACCUGCCACACUGCGAGACUGAGCGCUCCAUGCUGGGCUGAUCCCCUCUGAAGGCACAGGAAUGGGGCAGGGGUACCCAUUUUGAGCAGCGGAAAGGGGAGACCUUGGGGAAAGAGACAAGGGAUGCUGGGGUGCCACGCUGCCGCCUCUGGGUUGUGAGGGGCAGUGGCCUCCUCCUGGACUCUGGCUAAAAGCCUGCUCCUUCAGGCCACCUGCUGGGAGCCCCAGGUCUGUGCAUGCAGAAGGGAGGAAGCCGAAGGCAGGUAGCACAGGGUGUAGGACUCCUGUGCGGCUGGCCUGGGAGUUCAGGAAAAUGCCACUUGGGAGCUUUUCUCCUGCAGCUCGUUCUAAGGGCCCAUCAUCUGUUGUCCCCGCCUGCCCCAGCAGGGCCAGAGCAGUCCUCAGGCCCGGCAGUGGUACCUCCCAGGUGGGCAGAGGGAGCCUGAGUCUGCCAGGCCACCGGCUGGGCCCUGCCUCAGGUGGGCCGGGCCUCCUCAACUGUCCCAGGCCAGGUUCCAUGUCAGGCUCCAGGGAAGCCAGCUGAGGCGCAGCCCUCGCAAACUUCCUGCGGAAGGGGCUAGCAGCACCCCCCCAGCCCCACAGCAUUCCCCAGCGUGGCACAGGUCACUGGCCUGGCCAUUCGCAGCCCUGUCCUGCAGCUGUAGCCGAGCUCAGGCAGCACCAGAGGACUGGCUUGUGCUGUUCUUGGAAUGAAGUUCACCGUGGAGGCAGGACUCACCCAGCUGCUGCCCGACAGAGGAACCACUGCUCCUCCCUGGCCCAGCUUCACAAAGCCAGACCCUGGGUUUGGGCCGCUGGGUGAAGAUGGAUCAGAGCCCACAGAGUAGAUGUGAAGUUCCAGGUUAACAUGGCCCAUAGACAGCACAACAAGACCUGAAGCCCCUCACAGACAGCUGCGCCCUGACCAGCUUCCUCAGGUGUCUCCAUGUGAUAUUCUGGAACACACAGGCACCACGAUGCUGCGCCUGCAGGCCACACCUACGGAAGCGGUGCAGUGAAGGCAGGAAGCCAGCGAGGCCUGAGGGACAGGUGCGGGGAAAGCGAGGUUUUGUUCUAGAAGCCACUCCACGCCCUCCACAGAUGCCAUCACUACACUUCCUUCAGGGCUGGGUCUGAUGAGAGCUCAGAGUGCAAAAGAAAUGCUUUCCUUCUUGGCCCUUUCAAAUCUCACCCCAGCACUGAACAAGGUCUAACCUUUGAAUUUCAGAUGUUAGAAAUGUGGAAAGAUGAUCCAAUUAUAAUAAGAGGAAUGAAGUGAAUUCUCCUGAGGUGGUGGAAAUAGCUCAGGAACAGAAACCAAGAGAUCUGAGUUUUUGUCCCAGUUCUGCCACUUGUGAGUCGAUUAACCUUAGGCAAGUUAAUUCACCUCUGGGCUGGUUACUGAGGGUACUGGCCAGAGGCUCCAUAAGUCCCUUCCCCAGUGCCCUUUUGGGACUGUGCAGAACCCAGAGAGCCCUCAGUAACAAAACGGUACUCAAGCCUGCCUUCCACUGAAACCCUGGCUCCUGGAAUACUCCCCUCACCAGCCAUAAUGCCAUUACUGUCCCUUCCAGCUGCAGUCCAGCUGGAACCCAGUCUAGAGCCCGUUCUCAAUUUCAGAAAUGCCCCAAAUCACGAAGAAGUGAUGCGUGUUGGGCAUAUUCAGUCUCUGGUGGUCCGAAGGGCAAUUAUAGUCAAGAAACAAGUUGCACUUGCUGUGCCUGCGGCAGCCGGUACUCUGCAGAAAGGAAACCACCAAACCAAACCUAUUAUCCAAGUCACUGUGUCCACUGUUUUUGCAGAGUAAUAUUAUCUGAGAUAACUUCACAGUCAAGCUCUGAUUGAAUUGUUAGCAAUGGCUUUAUUUGCUGCUUUGUCAGGGCAAGAGAGUAACCGCUAGAUGAGACUAAGUCAGCUUUCCACAAACAUAUUUUUGCAGUGUGUUAGCAUUUGUGAAGAGGUAAACGUAUUUUCUGGAAACAGAGUAUACUUGCAGUUUUGUUCCUGACCAACAGUAGACCAAUCAGCUGAGGUCUGAACCCUAAUUAUGUACCAGAAUCGCCUUGAGUGCUUGUUAGCACAAUUCUUGGGCCUCAGGAAUCCACUGAGACUUUCUCAAAAGUUCCCCUAGAGACUAACUACUAGCAUUUUAUUCAAUUUCUGGAGUGAGUUCUGGAUGCUUACAUCACAUCCCUUUGUACUGUUUGAAAUCCUUCCCACAGAAGACACCUCACACACGCACAACAGUGCCACACUUAAGCCAACACCACAGGAAAAAUCUCCUUCUAAAACUCCUUGACCAAAUAUCUUGCUUUACCUACAUGGCUGACUUUUGAGUACGGCAGUCUUGGGCUUAUGGCACUUCCCUGGAGGCCUGUUAAUCACAAUCACUAGCAGGACACAGUGGCUCACACCUGUAAUCACAGCACUUUAGGAGGCCAAGGCAGGAGGCUUGCUGGAGCCCAAGAGUUCAAGGAUGCAGUGAGUUAUGAUUGCACCACUGCACUCUAGCCUGGGGGAAAGAGUGAGACCCUGUCUCAAAAAACAAAACCCACACUAAAAGCAUUGCUACAAAGUAAAGAAACAAGCAAUUCAGGAUGAAUGACAAGCAGCCAGCACUAUUUUCUAGACAAUUCCAAAAUAUUUUGAUUAAAGCAUAAUCUUGUCUCACAAACACCUGGCAUGUGGAUCAACAUUAAAAUGUUCCCCACCCUAGACUGCACUUAAACCUAGUGGCAUAGCCUACUACACACCUAGGCUGUAUGGUAGAGCCUAUUACUCCUAGACCACAAACCUGGACAGCACGUUACUAUACUGAAUACUGUCGGCAACUGUAACACAAUGGUAUUUGUGUAUCUAAUUACAGUAGAAAAUACAUUAUAAUUGUAUGGGACCACCAUAGUAUAUGCAGUCUUUGACAUGUAAUAAUGCACAGCUGUGUAUCAAAAUGCUAACCAUGUGAUGGCAUGUGGUAGGACAAUGUAUAAUUUCCCUUUUCUCUAUUUUCUAAAUUUUAAAUGUGAAUUUAUAAUUUUGUAUAAUAUUUAUUACACUUAUAGUGUAAUAAACAUUGAAAACGUUCCCAACUUUUACACCAACUUUCUUAUUCACCAGAGGGAGUUGUGACUUUUUUUUUUUUUUUUGAGACAAGGUCUUGCUCUGUCAUCCAGGCUGGAGUACAGUGGCACGAUCUCAGCUCACCUCCUGGGCUCAAGUGAUCCUCCCACCUCAGCAUCCAAAGUAGCUGGGACUACUGACGUGCACCACCACACCCGGCUAAUUUUGUUUAUUUUUAGUAGAUGAGAUCCCACUAUGUUGCCCACGCUGAUUGUCAAACUCCUGGCCUCAAACUAUCCUCUUGCCUCGGCCUCCCAAAAUGCUGGGAUUACAGGAGUGAGCCACCACACUCAGCCAACCUUAACUCUUAAUUAUUGGAAAUACCCAAACCUCAAUGCCUUACCCCAUAUGGAAGGCAAAAUCCUGUAUUCCCAAUUCACACAUGAAAAUUACACGAGAGGUAAGUCAAAAAUGCUUCCUUUAUUACAUAAAGCCAAUACUGCUACUUCUAAGUUCAACUGUUUGUGCAUCUCUAUAUCGUUCAAAGUGUUACGCCCG
rnacentral:lncRNA from 1 species